rnacentral:rRNA from 1 species
AUGCAAGUCGAACGAGAAAGGGAAGCAAUUCCUGAGUAAAGUGGCGCACGGGUGAGUAACGCGUGACUAACCUACCCUUGAGCGGGGGAUAACCUAGGGAAACCUGGGCUAAUACCGCAUAACAUCCAUGGAUCAAAGCGAGCAAUCGCACUUGAGGAGGGGGUCGCGGCAGAUUAGUUAGUUGGUGGGGUAAUGGCCUACCAAGACGAUGAUCUGUAUCCGGCCUGAGAGGGCGCACGGACACACUGGAACUGAAACACGGUCCAGACUCCUACGGGAGGCAGCAGUGGGGAAUUUUGCGCAAUGGGGGAAACCCUGACGCAGCAACGCCGCGUGGAGGAUGAAAUCCCUUGGGAUGUAAACUCCUUUCGAUCGGGACGAUAAUGACGGUACCGAUAGAAGAAGCCCCGGCUAACUUCGUGCCAGCAGCCGCGGUAAUACGAGGGGGGCGAGCGUUGUUC